GACGAACGCUGGCGGCGGGCUUAACACAUGCAAGUCGAACGGCAAGGCCCUGCUUUUGUGGGGUGCUCGAGUGGCGAACGGGUGAGUAACACGUGAGUAACCUGCCCUUGACUUUGGGAUAACUUCAGGAAACUGGGGCUAAUACCGGAUAGGAGCUCCUGCUGCAUGGUGGGGGUUGGAAAGUUUCGGCGGUUGGGGAUGGACUCGCGGCUUAUCAGCUUGUUGGUGGGGUAGUGGCUUACCAAGGCGUUGACGGGUCGCCGGCCUGAGAGGGUGGCCGGCGACAUUGGGACUGAGAUAGAGCCCAGACUCCUACGGGAGGCAGCAGUGGGGAAUAUUGCACAAUGGGCGGAAGCGUGAUGCAGCAACGCCGCGUGCGGGAUGACGGUCUGCGGGUUGUAAACCGCUGUCGCCUGUGACGAAGCGUGAGUGACGGUAAUGGGUAAAGAAGCACCGGCUAACUACGUG
rnacentral:rRNA from 1 species